AGUGAACGCUGGCGGCGUGCCUAAUACAUGCAAGUCGAACGGAGUGGCGCACGGGUGAGUAAGUUAUAGCUAAUCAGCCCUACACUAGAGGACAACAGUUGGAAACAACUGAUAAUACUUUAUAGUGUAGGAUGAGGCUAUAUUGUAUCAGAUAGUUGGUGAGGUAAUGGCUACCGAAGGCUAUGACGGAUAACUGGGCUGAGAGGAUGGUCAGUGACUCCGGAGCGAGGAAGCGGUCCAGACUCCUACGGGAUGCAGCAGUAGGUGAUAUUGCACAGUGGGGGAAACCCUGAAGCAGCUCGGCCUCGUGGAGUAUGUCACUCUUCAGAGCAUAAAUUCCUUUUAAUAGUGAGGCGGUACCUGACUAAUAAGCACCGGCUAACUCCGUGCCAGCAGCCGCGGUAAUUC
rnacentral:rRNA from 1 species